GGAGGCAGCAGUGGCGAAUAUUGCACCAAUGGCGAAAGCCUGAUGCAGCGACGACACGUGAGGAUGACGCUUCGGGCUGUAAACCUCUUCAGCAGGGAAGAAGCGCAAGUGACGGUACCUGCAGAAGAAGCGCCGGCUAACUACGUGCCAGCAGCCGCGGUAAUACGUAGGGCGCAAGCGUUGUCCGGAAUUAUUGGGCGUAAAGAGCUCGUAGGCGGUCUGUCGCGUCUGGUGUGAAAUCUCAUGGCUCAACUGUGAGCUUGCAUCGGGUACGGGCAGACUAGAGUGCUGUAGGGGAGACUGGAAUUCCUGGUGUAGCGGUGGAAUGCGCAGAUAUCAGGAGGAACACCGAUGGCGAAGGCAGGUCUCUGGGCAGUUACUGACGCUGAGGAGCGAAAGCAUGGGGAGCGAACAGGAUUAGAUACCCUGGUAGUCCAUGCCGUAAACGUUGGGCACUAGGUGUGGGGCCAGUUCCACUGGUUCUGUGCCGCAGCUAACGCAUUAAGUGCCCCGCCUGGGGAGUACGGCCGCAAGGCUAAAACUCAAAGGAAUUGACGGGGGCCCGCACAAGCGGCGGAGCAUGCGGAUUAAUUCGAUGCAACGCGAAGAACCUUACCAAGGCUUGACAUGUACGAGAAAGCCCCAGAGAUGGGGUUCUCUUUGGACACUCGUACACAGGUGGUGCAUGGUUGUCGUCAGCUCGUGUCGUGAGAUGUUGGGUUAAGUCCCGCAACGAGCGCAACCCUUAUCCUAUGUUGCCAGCGGGUUAUGCCGGGGACUCAUGGGAGACUGCCGGGGUCAACUCGGAGGAAGGUGGGGAUGACGUCAAAUCAUCAUGCCCCUUAUGUCUUGGGCUUCACGCAUGCUACAAUGGCCGGUACAGAGGGCUGCGAUACCGUGAGGUGGAGCGAAUCCCAAAAAGCCGGUCUCAGUUCGGAUCGGGGUCUACAACUCGACCCCAUGAAGUCGGAGUCGCUAGUAAUCGCAGAUCAGCAACGCUGCGGUGAAUACGUUCCCGGGCCUUGUACACACCGCCCGUCAAGUCACGAAAGUUGGUAACACCCGAAGCUCACGGCCCAACCCCUUGUGGGAGGGAGUGUCGAAGGUGGACUACGAUCCGU
rnacentral:rRNA from 1 species